rnacentral:rRNA from 1 species
UACGGAGGGGGCUAACGUUGUUCGGAAUUACUGGGCGUAAAGCGCACGUAGGCGGCUUUGUAAGUUAGAGGUGAAAGCCCAGGGCUCAACCCUGGAAUUGCCUUUAAGACUGCAUCGCUUGAACAUCGGAGAGGUAAGUGGAAUUCCGAGUGUAGAGGUGAAAUUCGUAGAUAUUCGGAAGAACACCAGUGGCGAAGGCGACUUACUGGACACAUAUUGACGCUGAGGUGCGAAAGCGUGGGGAGCAAACAGG